rnacentral:rRNA from 1 species
AUUGAACGCUGGCGGCAUGCCUUACACAUGCAAGUCGAACGGCAGCGCGGACUUCGGCCUGGCGGCGAGUGGCGAACGGGUGAGUAAUACAUCGGAACGUACCCUGUUGUGGGGGAUAACUAGUCGAAAGAUUAGCUAAUACCGCAUACGACCUGAGGGUGAAAGUGGGGGAUCGCAAGGCCUCCCGCAGCAGGAGCGGCCGAUGUCUGAUUAGCUAGUUGGUGGGGUAAAGGCCCACCAAGGCGACGAUCAGUAGCUGGUCUGAGAGGACGAUCAGCCACACUGGGACUGAGACACGGCCCAGACUCCUACGGGAGGCAGCAGUGGGGAAUUUUGGACAAUGGGGGCAACCCUGAUCCAGCAAUGCCGCGUGUGUGAAGAAGGCCUUCGGGUUGUAAAGCACUUUUGUCCGGAAAGAAAUCGCGCUGGUUAAUACCUGGCGUGGAUGACGGUACCGGAAGAAUAAGCACCGGCUAACUACGUG